GGGGAAGAGAGGAGGAGGACGGUGAGGGUGGAAAGUCCACGGGUUUGUUUGCUUGCUUUCGGACACGUCAACAGAAGCAGAUUUAAUAAAAGAGGAGGGAGUGUGCGUCUGUGUCGACUCCCGGGAGCUUCUCAUCUCUGUGUCGGCGGCGUCGGGGGAAGCUUUGUUCACCGCCUGGUUGGAACAAGGCAACAUCCGGGAGGCCUCAUUAGUCCGACGCUCAGCCUCGCCGGGGGAGGGGGGGGAACCGUCCCGCGAAACCCGAGGCCGAGCGAACCCCGACAUCACUUCUUCCUCUGAGAGGCAGACGAUUUGCAUCUUGUUGACAUCGACCAGCCGAGCUUCCCUGAGCUUUGUUUGGAUUUCCCAACCUCGCUUUCGCUUUCGGAAGUCACGAAAGGACUCAACUUCGCGAAGAAGCCGGACGGAGGCAAACUACACCGCGCGGCCGUCGCUUGGUUGUUCCCAACUCCCUCAGCCCCGUUCUCUCGCUGAAACACUGACCACGUUUGACAGCUGUUUUAGCUGCAAACAAAACCACACACUGGCUCAGAUGAGGAACAACUGCAGAGUGAAUACUGGGAUAUCGGGCUUGCGGCGGCGGCGCAGUCGGUGCAAACAGCCCCAUUAGAAGAGUUUACCUGUGCGAGAUGUUGAGGAGCUGCAGCUCCGUGACGGCGCCCGCUGAGCAGAACACAUGAAGUUUAAAGAAUGGAAGAACCUCCGUGUGUUGCUGCUCAUCCGCGUAACUCUCCUCCACUUUGACAUCCAGCGACAUCCAACGCACUUAACAAGGCGGCGGUCACUCACGAGGCGGCGGACGACAAAAGCCAGAAGGACGAGGCGAGCAGCAGCAGCCACCUGCUUCCCUUUCUUCUCUUUCUGUCUUCUGGAGCGCCGGAGCUCCGCGUCUCUCCGCCGGCCGAGCGACACGACAAAAGGCCACGUGGAGGGAAAGAGGGAAGCACGGGAUUCCUAUCUGCACGCCCAUUGGGGGUCGGGAGGGGGUCACCUGAUUCAUUUCUGCUUGAGGGCUAUUAAUCUUUUCAAGUACCAGAAUCACUUUGGCUCUCAGCAGAGGAGAUUGAGUUUUCUAUUACAAUCAACCGGAGGCAGCGCGUCGCCGCCCUUUCCUCUCGGUCAGAACGUUCCUCUUUGAUUGUGCCUGUAGUUAGGGCUGGCUCAGGUCAGCCCGGACCAGCCCUUAGUUAAGCUGCUAUAGGCUUAGACUUCUUAGGACACACCGAGCUCCUCUCUCACGCUCUCCUUCUACCAUAAUCCACGUUUUAUUAAUGGACAUGACUAAUUCAGCUUCUUUCCGGGAGUUUUUUUUGUGCUUUCUCCCCUAGCAGGUCCCCGUAGAUCGUGGUUCCUUCUGGACCCUGGUCCUAACAUCUGCCGUGGCCCUGCUGACGCCUGCUGCUGCCAUCAUCAACAUCAUUAUUAUUUUAGAUAUUAAUCAUAUUACUGUACUCAUAAACCAACAUUACCCUCUCCUAAAGUCUCUGUGCUGUCCCUCCCCACAGGCUUCUGUGGAUGGUGGUUCUAUCUGAUGGUGGUUCUAUGUGAUGGUGUUUCUAUCUGAUGGUGUUUCUAUGUGAUGGUGGUUCCAUGAGGUGUUCUACUGGGUUUAGGUCAGGUGAUUGGGAGAGUUGACAUGGCCAAGAACCUUGCCCCUCCUCUACUCGGCUCACCCUCGAACUUGUGCUCCCUGGUCGUUGUGGCGAACGGGUAGAGACGGUGGUUUGAGCCCCGGCUGCCCCAGGUUGAAGAGUCCCUGAGCAAGACACCUGACCCCUAAGUGCUCCCGGGGCAAAAAUGAAAAAAAAAACAUGGGAUGAAAAUGUAAUGUAAGUUGCUUUGGAUAAAAGCGUCAGCUAAAUGACCUGUAAUGUGUGUAUAUAUAUAUAUAUAUAUAUAUAUAUAUAUAUAUAUAUAUAUAUAUAUAUAUACGCAGCCUGCCCUUAUAUGGCAGGUGCUGUUGCUAAUGGGAUAAUUAUCCCAGUGGCCCACAUGAGUCCUCAACACAUUACUCCACUUUCUUAGACCCUUGAGGGUCAAAGUGCACUUUCACUACACCAGUAAAGGGCUGAUUUAUCAAAUCCAAGUGAAAACAGAGCAUAGACAUCACAUUUAUUACCGCCCUUGUAUAAUUUAUCAGCUACAUUCAUUAAGAGCAGCGGGCUCGUCUCUUGAAAAAUGUCCGUCGGCGAGGAGCAUUAAUUGCAGAGGAACCGAGCGAAGUGGCGCUGGGCCGCGGAUCCCCGGUCAGGCUCCCAGACAACUGCGCUAAUGUGGGGGGGGUGGCGGCCACUUUAAAAUGACAAACGGCAGGCGAGCUCGGAGUCACUUAAUGAAUGUGAAACCCCAGCGGGGGAGCAGGAGAGCGCCACCUGGGGGAGCAGUGCAGCCUCCAGACAAGCGCUCCCAAAGGGGUCGCUGCAGGGAGGUCGUCUCUCAGGAGGUGUCGUAGCAACGCCGUCGACCUCAGUAACACAAGUUACAAUGUAAAAAGCCAGCGGCAACAAAUCCAUUUCUCAAUUAAUGAACCCGAGGCCAAUCUGGGGACACACAUUAAACUCUUUAUUAUUGUACCGCAGGGUGGGUGGAUAUCGGUGCAGCCAAUGUAUGGGUGUCACAUGUCAUGUUUCGGCUGUCCUCGGGGGGGGGGGGGGGUCUCUUAUUGCUCAAAAACGAACUGGCUCAGAGGCCUCAUCCAUCUGCCUGACAUGUGACUCCAUGUUUGUUUCUCUCGCCGAGUCGACAGCGCUCAGACGUCCGGGCCCCAGGAAUCAAUCUCCCCCGUCUCCCUUACUUCCCCCAUGAAGCCAGGCUCUGGGAGAGCGCUUACAGCCUUUAUUCGUUGGGAAAAGAAAGCGCCAUGAAAGUAACUCUGAAAGCACCUCGUCUGUCAAUCGCUGCGCUCGGAACAACCCUCCUGUUCGGUUCGGUCGAGCCCAACAUGCAUUUAUCAUGCAGUUUGUUACCACGGCGAUACAGGAGAGAAGUCAGCGGGUCUAGUUCAAACUACUGGAAUUACUUUCAAUAAGUAAAAAACUCAAGCAUGUUCAGUGAGGGAAAAAUAUAUUUGCAGAGGACGUCUCUCCCAGUAGCACGAAAGUCAGAUAACACAUGAGGCAGAAGACGGCAACCACAACAAAAUGAAGUAAGCGGUUGAGAACAUUCAUAGUAUCCUUCUUUAUAGACAAUGAGGUCCUUUAGAUCAAGAUACACAGAGUCAACAGUCGGCGGUCUUUGCGGAUCCACCGCGGCGCCUCUCAGAGGACCACGUCGCUCUCCUCCCGCGUUGCCACGAUGAGCAGCGGGUUUCUGCUCGGCUCCAACAAAGUGCCGCCGACGCUCCCCGACGUUCUCUCUGCUCCGUGGCGGCUGGAGAUCCUCAGCUCCUCCUGCAUCUGCUCCCCCAGCUCCUGGAUCAGCAGGCGGGAGCCCUGUGAGGCAGAGGGGAGGGUGCUCGCGGGCGCCCGGGGGACGGGGGAUGCAGCCAGGGCGGGUGGGGGCUGCGGAGGGUUGUCCUUAGACGUCCCCCCUCCUUCUGCUCCGCCCCCUCCCUCCUUGGAUUCGGUGCAGCUUUGCCCUUCAGCCUCUGAUUCCUCGCUCUCGCCAGACGAGUCACCACUGCUGCUGCUGCUGUGGGAUAUCGGAUCGCAGUCGGAGGCUGCUCCAUCUUCUUCUUCCUCCUCCUCCUCUUCCUCGGCCACGAUAGUUGCCGCCUCCUCGAGCUCCUCCAGAUCCAGCCCCGAAUAUUAUAUC
ensembl:lncRNA